rnacentral:tmRNA from 1 species
GGGGGCGACCGGUUUCGACUGGAUGGCUACGGUGAUGGUGGCAUGCCCUGGACGCCUACUUGGCCAGGUAAAAUAUGUGGGCAAACAUUAACUGCCAAUAACAAUGGUGCAGUUGCCGGUCGCAUCGGUUUCGGUGCUCCGGCUCUCGUAAUGGCCGUCUAAUUUAGAUGGUCUCGGGAUGACGGCGAUGCUCGCUGAUCGUCACCUGUAAAAAGCGGGCUGGCUCGACAAGUCCGGUCUUACGCGUCGAGUGAGAAACAUUAGGCCUGGAGCCUGGCGAAGGUUGUCAGUGGUCGUCGCCAGAUUCGACAAUAAAGCACCUGACUAUGCAUGUAGAGGCCAUCAUUUGGGCUGUAUCAGGACGAGGGUUCAAUUCCCUCCGCCUCCACUC